rnacentral:rRNA from 1 species
CCUACGGGUGGCAGCAGUGAGGAAUAUUGGUCAAUGGUCGGGAGACUGAACCAGCCAAGCCGCGUGAGGGAGGAAGGUACAGAGUAUCGUAAACCUCUUUUGUCAGGGAACAAAGACUGGGACGCGUCCCCGGAUGAGUGUACCUGAAGAAAAAGCAUCGGCUAACUCCGUGCCAGCAGCCGCGGUAAUACGGAGGAUGCGAGCGUUAUCCGGAUGUAAUGGGGGUAAAGGGUGCGCAGGCGGUCUGUUAAGUCAGCGGUCAAAGCCCGGGGCUCAACCCCGGACCGGCCGUUGAAACUGGCAGUCUAGAGUUGGAGAGAGGUAUGCGGAAUGCGUGGUGUAGCGGUGAAAUGCAUAGAGAUCGAGAAGAACUCUGAUUGCGAAGGCAGCAUGCCGGCUCCACACUGACGCUGAGGCACGAAAGCGUGGGUAUCGAACAGGAUUAGAUACCCCUGUAGUC